GGCAAGUUUGUAGGGCAUCUCUUUGAUUGCUGAUUGACGCUAGGGUCCAGCCCACUGUGGGUGGUGCCAUCCCCUGGGCUGAUGGUCCUGGGUUCUAUAAGAAAGCAGGGUGAGCAAGCCGGUAAGCAAUGCCCCUCCGUGGUUCCUGCCCUGACUUUCCUAACAGAUUAACUGUGAUCAUGAUUUUUUAAGGGCUGUGAACUCUCUAUACCUUGGACAAGCACUUGGAAUCCAUUCAUUGGGAACAGUAUCUUCCCUGGGAGUGACUUUUGCCCUUUCUACCUUCAGGGCUUCAAAACUUCUGCAGGUGUUUGUUCCAGAUGUGGACUCUUGCCCCAGCAUUUGACCAUCCAUCAGCCAGCUAUUUCACACAGAUAAGAUUCUAAUCUUUUACACUGGAUAGCCACUGAGUGUCUGGAGCUGACCAGGAACAGGCCAAGAGCAUGGCUCUCCUCAAACACACACAUUUAAACACAUCCAAUCUGAAUGGGGAUGAAGUUGGCCUGUGGACGUUUACUUUACAGUAGAUCUAAGUUGCACUAUGGUGAAUGCAGCGAACAGACUUCCGGUUGACCUGGAGGCGAGCUGCAGGCUGUUGCGGGAGGUAGCUUUUCUGGCACGUCAGGUGGGUCAACCCAAAGAGACGCAGCUCUCCAGACUGGUAAAUGUUUUGUAAGCCCAGUGGGUUGAAGAAAGACGCAGAUAGCUUCUUCAGGGUCAGCAGUAUUUCCGAGAUGCAUCUCCCUCCUGCUUGAUUGUGUCCAUUCUAGGCAGUUGGUUUGGAAAAACGUGGCUUCCCCUCAAAGCUUGACCUGCUCGGGACCCAUGGAGGACAGCCCUGACGUAGGCAUGGAGGUCACUGAGGUCACUGAGGUCAUGCUCCUUAUCUGGUUCCUGUUGCUCAAGCUACCCGUGUCAGUUGCUAUGGAUACAUUGACAUUCAUGCUGUUACUGUACAUCCUGGUAUUUGCUUGUUGCCCAAAGCGAGGUGGGGACUGUGAAAACAUGCUGUUUCUACCCGUGCUCUCCUGUGCCCAUUCGUUCAUGUCUGAGGAGGGCUGGUAAGCUGGGUUGUUUUGAGACUGCUACAUCAUGGGACUCUGGGUAUGUACCAUCAGGGAGACAUUAAAGGAUUCUGGGGAGUCAUAGCCCCAGGAAAUCUAGGAUCAGGUUCCUGGGAGAUCCGGGGAUUCCUCAUGGCUGCUGGUAGACCAGUAGGAGCAGCCAUGCUUGGGGUCAUAUUCAACCCUUGUCCUCUCAUCGUCAGAAGUUCACUGCUGUACCUGCUGUUGCUGGUGCAUCAGUCUCUGCUGAAGAUGCUGGUUGAGGAUUUCCGUCUGCCUCUGGGCCAGCAUCUGUGAAUUAAUAGGAGCCUGAGUUGGGGCUCCAGGCCCCAGAGUCAAGUUCACAUUGGAGACACUGUCAAUCUGAUUCAUAAGAGGACACCUUGAGUGAGGUGCCAUGGGUGGACCGAGGCCUAGGCAAGCUCCCUGUAGAGUCCUUGUUUGUGUCCGACAAGGAGCUAGGCAAGGGUGAAGGUUCCAUCUGGUUGGACUUGGUGGUCAGCAGCUGUAAGAGUUUGGUCUGCCCUUUGCUGUCAUGCUGUGUCCCUCUGCCCUGUCCCCGCUGGUCGCCUGGGGCAUGCUGGAGCCAUUGGGCACCUUUUGUUCUUCAGGAUGGUAGCUGGCCUCUGCUUGUCCAGUUGUACCUUCUGAGGGCUCCCCAUGAAGUCUGAAACAGUCUCUGGAAUCCAAACUUCCCAUCUUGCUGAGUGGUGGAGGAUUCAGAUUAACUGGGGAGUUUUGCAAAUUGCCCAUUUUUAGGUCCAGUGAAGCCACCGAGGACCCGAGUGAGACCCCACGACCCUCGCUGAGGGCUUGCAGUGCAUCAAGGGAACUGUUGGUAUAACUAUGGCUAUUUCCUGUGCUGCUGCAAACUUCCACAGGGGAAUGCAAGCUUCCUGCAGGGGAAAACUGACUCGCCAAAAGAAUGCCACUGGAGAGAAAACGACAGAUCUGACUGAACGCCAACCCAUGCUUGCCUCAGAGUUUCAUGAUGAUGACUCUUGGUGUGUGAAGAGACUUCCCCCACUUCAUGCGGCGUGUGGAACUUCUGAAUGCAUCCUCUCGCCAGAUCCUCCCAGCCCGGCUUCAUGGCGGCCCUCACGGUGCUAGUGUCCAGAGAAGUGAUUUUUGCCUUGGAUGUCCUGGCGAGUGGUAAAGCUUCCUGACGAGGGGAGGGCUGAGCUUCCCUUCGAGGGGACUCUUCCUGCCACACAAAUCAAGCAGGACUGCAAAUCUCCGCCUUCCUCUCUGAUCUGGCUGAGACACAGAGAAGUUCCGUAUCAUCUCGUAUUUCUGAUGGGCUUCCUGGUUACCGUGGCCUUCCUCUUCUGAAUCUGGCAAAGGCUUCACCAGCAUCUGAGAGUUGAAGGUAUAGAUAGCUACUCUGCCUCGGAGGUUCUCCAGACAGAGGUCUCCCCAUUCACCAUGGACUUUGGCAGCUGGUACAGUGUGGUUCCGAACAUGCAGGAUGCUGUAGACAAUCUUGUUCAUCAGUUCUUCCUGGUUAUACUGUAGAUGCCGUGUCACAUUCUCUGACAGGGACACCCCAUUGCCUUCCACAUUCACAAUGAAGAACCCUUCAUUGCCGAGGGCCUCGAGCAUCAUAGGCCACAGUGCAUCCUUGUUGAUGAUAUCCUGCCCUGUGGACCACACAUCUGACUCCUGCAUUUCAUCUGUGCUGGCAGGGGCUGCUUUCUCUUGCUCUUUGAUCCGGCGGAUCUGCUUCACAGUUUCUUUUAAGAUGGCACAUUUAUCAGGUUUGAAAUUGAAGUUGUCGAUAUCAUUAAAAGUUGCAAAAAUC
rnacentral:lncRNA from 1 species